rnacentral:rRNA from 1 species
CACCCUUGAAAGAGUGCGUAAUAGCUCACUGGUCUAGUGAUUCCGCGCCGACAAUGUAGCGGGGCUCAAGCGUACCGCCGAAGUCGUGUCAUUGCAGCAUGAGGGCCAACGCCCGCUGUGAUGGGUAGGGGAGCGUCGUGUGCCGGGUGAAGCAGCCGUGGAAGCGAGUUGUGGACGGUUCACGAGUGAGAAUGCAGGCAUGAGUAGCGAUUC